AGCUCAUUAACUGGGAAUCAUAACAGCCACCUGUAUGUAGUUUGCACUAGCAGCUCAGCAGCAGCAACUCAGUUCUCUCCUUCCUUCUGCCUGGAAUAGGUUGUAUUUUACCCCGAGAUCAUCUUUGCAAGUUUUGGAAGCAUCUUUGUACGGGAAACUUACUCAGGGACCAAAGCAUCAAAAUUUCCCCAUUCCCCUAUUCAAAGUGGAAGUUUUCCUCUGUAUGAAGAAGCCAGGGGGGAUGCUGUACAUACGCAUACAAAAAGUCUCUCAAAAAUCAGGAGCUGCCCAUUAGAUGUAAGCCUGGACUGUUUAAUGAGGAAGGAGAGCCCUUCUGAUCAAAUUGAGACAUACAGCUGAGGUGAAGCUGCUCUGCUACAAGCAGGUCAAUGUGUUAAUUAAAAGUUGAUCCAGAUUGGUGAUUUGCAGUCCCAGAUGCGCGAUUAACACAAAAGUAGAGCACAACUCGCGAUGUUGCUGCUGCUGCUCCGUGCGCCGCUGACCUCCCAGGUCCCUAUGGGACAAUCAGCAGCUGAGCCGGAGCCAAGCGCCUGGGGCAGAGAGCAACCUCGCCGAGAGCAGCACCCACAGAGAGGUUGACUGGAUCCCCACCCAGGCGCCAGCCCCGAGCAGAGUCGCUCCGGUAGGCUCCCCGAACCGGCCAUCCCGCCGCGCUGCGCGCCGAGGCGGCGGAAAAGGCUGCGAUUGAAACCCUGUCGGGGUCUCCUUCUUCCUAGGAGCGUGCAUUGUAUCUUUCUCCUUCUCCUUUGUAAGAUAGCGAAGGUGAACAAUGAAAUCCCUUUGCUAAUAGUUUAUGACCCAUGAGAUUGAAAAUGUAUAUGGAUAGAGAA